UUUCUGCUCGGGAGUACAAUUGCGUAAAUAUAUCGUGAUAGACAACAUAAAUCAAGUUUAUUAAAACAUGUCUUAUCCAUCUAAAAAUACAAGAUCGACUUAAGUAUGAAUUAAAACAAGAUUUUUUAGAUUUUGUCAAAAUUUAUUAAUAAAAUGUUCGUAAAGACCGAUCACAGACAAAUCAUGCUAUGACGUCACUGUUUGUUUACAUAAUGUAACGGCUGUAUAUCCUCAUGGUGCGAUACUAGUAAUUAUUUAAUUUCAUUGUACGUGUCGAAUAGCAACUUUUUUCUUUUUUUUUUUACGAUAUAGUGCAGUGUAUUGUAGAAGCAGACGUGGUACUUCUGUCUUGUAGAAACAGACGUGAUACUUCUGUCUGGGUGUGAUUUUAUCGCGUCUGUGUAAAUGAGGCUGAUAAAAGGGGGAAUAAGGAGGUGAAGCUGGAGACAGACAGCAGUCAUAAUACAGAGGUGGAAAUGGAUGAAUAGUAACCGAGGCAAAAGGGUCAUAAAGCGUAGCAAGAGCCUGAAGGGGAGCGUAUUGAUAAUAACUUGAACAGAAAUAAAACCUACCUGCUUUUUGACAUCCAUUACACCCUCCUGGGUAAGUGUCGACAUUUCCAGAACAGGGAUGUUCUCCUUCUCUAGCGCAGUGAUCAGCGCCCUCUUUGCUGGGUACUCCUUCCCUAGCCGCUCCAAGUUCAUGACGUCAAUUUUGUUGCAAGCGACAAUCAAAGGCUGCACAGAAAUAAAAUUUGAAAUAAA